rnacentral:tRNA from 1 species
AGUCUUAUAGUCAUAUUUUGAUAUAAAAUUGCAAAUUUUAUGGGGUAUUAUAAUACUAAGGCUU